UAUUAAAGAGCUUUGUUAAACUUAGACUUAAGUUUAGGUCAUUUUGGGGGUUUAGCUCAGUUGGCUAGAGCAUCGGCUUUGCAAGCCGAGGGUCAAGGGUUCGAGUCCCUUAACCUCCAUUGGGCUUAUGUCCUAAAUCGUAAUUAAGUAUGUUUUUAAGUAACUUUGUUAAAGUAAUUGUUGGAAUGUGAAACAGAGGAAGUUAAAAUUUCUGGGUUAAGUUGAGAUCUGUUGAUAUUAAGAAGAAUCUCUAGAAGCAAAAGCAAGCUUUCGAUAAAACCCGAAGUUGUUUCGCUAAAGUGCAAGGAUUAACAGGAUUGUAUUUUCCAGUAUGGCCUAUUUUAUAAACGAUCUGCAUUUAGUAAAUAGUUUUUAGUUAAGAAAUAAUGUAGAUUGCUAAGUGUGAUGCCUGAAAGAAGGACAAGUAUUGUAGCGAGCCUAAAUCCUUGUAAUCGUUGCCAGUAUUUAGUGGUAGGGAUUCGGAUAAGACUGCCAUUUAUAAGUUGGAGGAAGGCAAAGAUUGCAUUAAAUCGUUAUCGCUCUUAUGUUUUAGGUUACAAGUUUGCCACAAUAACCCAAAAAAGCUAAGCAAAAUGCUAUAAAGCAGAUUUCAGUUUGGAUUUGCCCGA
rnacentral:misc_RNA from 1 species